GCAGCAGUGAGGAAUAUUGGUCAAUGGACGAGAGUCUGAACCAGCCAAAUCGCGUGAAGGAAGACUGCCCUACGGGUUGUAAACUUCUUUUGUACUGGAAUAAAAGACAUUACGUGUAAUGUAUUGCAUGUACCGUACGAAUAAGCAUCGGCUAACUCCGUGCCAGCAGCCGCGGUAAUACGGAGGAUGCGAGCGUUAUCCGGAUUUAUUGGGUUUAAAGGGUGCGCAGGCGGGAUUUUAAGUCAGCGGUGAAAUUUUCAGGCUCAACCUGAACACUGCCGUUGAAACUGGGAUUCUUGAGUAUGGAUGAAGUAGGCGGAAUUCGUUGUGUAGCGGUGACAUGCUUAGAUAUAACGAGGAACUCCGAUUGCGUAGGCAGCUUACUAAGCCAUAACUGACGCUCAAGCACGAAAGCGUGGGGAUCAAACAGGAUUAGAUACCCUGGUAGUCCACGCCGUAAACGAUUAUUACUAGUUGUUUGCGAUAUACCGUUAGUGACGCAAGCGAAAGCGAUAAGUGUCC
rnacentral:rRNA from 1 species